rnacentral:rRNA from 1 species
AUUGAACGCUGGCGGCAGGCCUAACACAUGCAAGUCGAACGAGUGGCGGACGGGUGAGUAAUGUCUGGGACAGUGCCUGAUGGAGGGGGAUAAAUACUGGAAACGGUAGCUAAUCCCGCAUACCAUCAGAUGUGCCCAGAUGGGAUUAGAUUGUUGGUGGGGUAACGGCUCACCUAGGCGACGAUCCCUAGCUGGUCUGAGAGGAUGACCAGCCACACUGGAACUGAGACACGGUCCAGACUCCUACGGGAGGCAGCAGUGGGGAAUAUUGCACAAUGGGCGCAAGCCUGAUGCAGCCAUGCCGCGUGUAUGAAGAAGGCCUUCGGGUUGUAAAGUACUUUCAGCGGGGAGGCGUUACCCGCAGAAGAAGCACCGGCUAACUCCGUGCCAGCCGCCGCGGUAAUAC